GAUAAGAAAUCUGACUUUCUUCUAGCCUCAUCCUGGGUUUGUGAGUUUAUGAAGAAGCUGAAGAGCUCCAUCACUUCCCAGCUAAACAUAGCUCUUCAGAUCUCAGGGUUUAAGAUGAUUUCCUCCUAAGUCAACACAGCAUUUUGCCUCCAUUCAAGCAACCCCUUGCUCCAAGCAUCGUGAUGUGACAGUGCAGCGUUCACCGGCCCACCCCAGCUGAUCUGCCCUAUGGCACAAGAAUAACAAUUGGAAAAACUUGGCUUCCCUCCGAGAGCAAUGCCAGCUUUGCCCAGGCCAGCCAUCUCUGGCAUAACUCUGUUCAUUUGAGCUUUCCUCAUGUGUGAUCAUCCUUGUAUGACCCCGAGGCCAGAAUCCCCAUUUAUUAAAGCUAGGAAAGACAUUUUUGAGGCUCUAGUUAGUUUGUUCUUUCAUAGUGAAAGAACUGUUUGUGGGCUCAAAGGGGGAUGUGGCAAUAGGUUAUUUCGGGCUUUCGAAAGGCCU
rnacentral:lncRNA from 1 species